GGGGUGUGUGGGUGUGGGGGGGAGUAUAAAAUAGGGGGAAACAAAAAACUGAGGAGGCUCAAUAUAUCCGUGCUCCCCUUCACCUUCACCUUCAUCCUCUUUCUCACCUUUUCUCUAUAUCCAGUCCAUACGCACUCACUCUUCCAGACAAUACACAGAAGUGGAGAAAGUCGAUCGGGUAAAUCUUGGAGGUAGGCAUCUCUAG
rnacentral:lncRNA from 1 species